GUAAUAUUUGUUUGGGAGUGGGGAAUGGUGAAGUCUCUGGAAUGUGCUGUUUCUUCCCCUGCCCCUAGUUUUUAAACUGAAUUUUUUCCCCUCUUGCUUUGGAUUCUUCAGUCUGUUUUUUAGCUUGAUGUCUCCUAUUUCUGGAAAACAUAAAGCUAUAGUAGCACACAGUUCACUUUUACAUAACCCAUAUAAUAAUCUGCUGCAUACUUGGUAGUCAGCAAUUCAGUAAUCUCAUUCUUCCAUUACCCCAUUCACUAGGUUCAUCAACAACUAUUGCGUACCUGCUACAUGCUAGGCACUCUUGAGAAUUCAGUGGCGAACAACAUAGAGCUCUCCUGACUCUUACCCUUCUGGUAUCCAGGUGAAAAUACUUUGGUGCUCAGCAAAGUGGACCGGAAAGGAAUACCAUUGGCCUGGCUCCCUUGUUCUAGAGCCCAGGGCAAAGAAAGGAGAAGCCAUACAAUGCAGAGGCAGGGCUCGGGACCACCUCCAACCUGCCAGGCAGAUACGGUUGUGGGCCGGAGUCAAGAGAGGGCAAACCAGAAGGCCCAGCUUUGGGUCUGACUCCAAGACGACUGGCUGGGAGGAAAACUUAACAGGCAAAACAGGCUUCUGAGGCACAGUGGAACAGUGAGACUACAGCAUUGGUGCCCUGGUGACAGUCCCUACCGAAGAAUCACCUCAGCUAUACAUACGGCCAAAGUAAAGAUCACGCCACCCAAAGGGAGAGUGCUGGGCAAACCAGAGGUGGAGAUGGCAAAGCAGGAACAGAAAUGCUGCCACAGUGAACAGAAAGCAGGACAACUUGACUAGGCCAGAGUUCUUUGCCUCAGGGGACCUCUGCUCAAGUUUCAGGAGUUCAUACCUACCCCCUUCACCUAGGAUCCCUGCUACAGUGAGUAACUGCUCUGUGCGAAGCCUGGAGCAAACACUGGUGUGUAGGUGGCUGAGGACAACAGCCACUUUCUUACAGCGGAGUUGGGGAGAAUAGUCUAGCAAAAACAAAAGCACGUUUUAUGUUCCGUGCUUAUGAAGUACAACAGAAGGUUUUCAGAUCGGGUCCUCUCACAGCCACCCUGUGAAGCAGCUGGGGUUAGUGACUUUAAGGAUGACUAACGACCUGCUCAAAGAAUGCCCUGCCUGCGUCCCAGGACACAUAUCCAUGGCUAGAUUAGGGUUCGUUUCUUGCUUUGAUUUUGAGUCGCCUCCACUGUCGAUAUUCCCCUCAUUCAUAUUUUAUCAGCUUGAUUGCAGAGAAGAACAUGGUCCAUCAAAGGGGCUUCUCAUAGAAAGUUCCAUUAAUUGUCAUGACAUCUGAUCGUUUCAUUAGGUUCAGAGAUUAAAGUGGAAGGACAGCAGAGAGAAAUGGAUUGUGAUCUAAAUCUAUAUUAUCAGAGAUACACUGCUCAACUACUGUCUUGCAAGCUCCAUGCUGGAACUCCGCAUUGUAAUUUACACAUUUUGUUCAUUUGGAAUGUGUGAGGUUCUGAGUCUGCCAUCGUACGCCUUGGAGGAGAAAGGCUUGCCUCACAGUGUAGGCAAGUGGGAUGCUAAACUUGCCACCACAUCACUACAGCUGCACAGGUACCUGAAGUCAGCGCUGUGAGUUCUGUGAGAACAUGAGCUGCGUCUCUUAGCCCACUGGGCCCCUGCAGUUUCAUUUGUCUCCUGUCUGGUAUGAUGGGGCUAGCAGCCUUCCUGCCUUCCCUCCACUGUCAUCCCCAACCCACUUGCCCACAGGACUGCAGAUUUAUUUUUCUUAGCCAUGGCUUUCCUGGACUUCCCAGCGUGGACUUCCUUAAUCUAUCAGGAUUUUCUUCUGUGGUCUUUCUGGAACUAUUUGCUGAUUUUUCCCUUCUAGUUCCCACUAGGAGCCCUCCCAUCUCAUCACAUCAAACUCACUUUUCUCUUUCACACCCCUUCCCUUCUGCCUACUCCUCCAGUAUACGUCUGUGCAUGUUUCUGCCUUUGAUAAUUCCCCUUCAGGUUUACCCUGUAUCUCUCUUCUCAGGUUUUUCCGGUACAGAUUCUCCUCUCUGUAAACACAACAGUGAAUUUCAAGGCCAGUUACUUAA